AGCUAGUUCAACCAUUGUGGAAGUCAGUGUGGUGAUUCCUCAGGGAUCUAGAACUAGAAAUACCAUUUGACCCAGCCAUCCCAUUACUGGGUAUAUACCCAAAGGACUAUAAAUCAUGCUGCUAUAAAGACACAUGCACACGUAUGUUUAUUGCGGCACUAUUCACAAUAGCAAAGACUUGGAACCAACCCAAAUGUCCAACAAUGAUAGACUGGAUUAAGCAGGUCAGGAAUUGGGAGUAGGUAGGGGUACAGAAUAUUGUUGGAAACACAGUAAGAUGAAGGUGUCAGCGCUGAUGAUAUGAUUGUUUACCUAGAAAACCCUAAAGACUCCUCCAGAAAGCUCCUAGAAAUGAUAAAAGAAUUCAGCAAAGUUUCUGGAUACAAAAUUAAUGUACAUAAAUCAGUAGCUUUUCUAUAUACCAACAGCGACCAAGCUGAGAAUCAAAUCAAGAACUCAACUCUUUACAAUAGCUGCAAAAAAAUUAAAAUAAAAUACUUAGGAAUAUACCUAAUCAAGGAGGUGAAAGACUUCUCCAAGGAAAACUACAAAAUACUGCUGAAAUAUUUCACAGAUGACACAAAUGGAAACACAUUCCAUGCUCACGGAUGGGUAGAAUCAAUAUUGUGAAAAUGACCAUACUGCCAAGAACUACUAAAUAGCCUCGAGCAGAUGGAAGUGGAUCU
rnacentral:lncRNA from 1 species